AAAUAAUUAUAAAAACUCAUAUUCAAAUAAAAUAUUUUUUCAGUUGAAAUUUUUUUUUUUUGAGAGAUAGGUAGCACGCUAUCCGUUUCGUUUAUUUUAUUUAAAAAUAAAAUUAGCUGAAAAUAUGAAUCAACUAGAAUUCGAAUUUGGAUCUCGGGUACCAACCACCAAGCCCUUUGUUACUUGUUCUAGGGACGGUCGGUAAAAAUUUUAUAUUUUACGAAUCGUAUCUAUGCGUAAACUGGAAUAUUUUUUAUUGGCUAAAAUGAUAUAAAAUUC
rnacentral:lncRNA from 1 species